rnacentral:rRNA from 1 species
UGGGUAACCUGCCUCAAAGAGGGGAAUAGCCUCCCGAAAGGGAGAUUAAUACCGCAUAAUAUGUUUAAGUCGCAUGACUUUAACAUCAAAGGAUUUUUCUUUUAAGAAAUUCCACUUUGAGAUGGACCCCGCGGCGCAUUAGCUAGUUGGUGAGGUAACGGCUCACCAAGGCAAAGAUGGUUAGCUGGUCUGAGAGGAUGGCCAGCCGCAUUGGGACUGAGACACGGCCCAGACCUCUACGGGAG